rnacentral:rRNA from 1 species
CGGGACACGUGGUAUCCUGUCUGAAUAUGGGGGGACCAUCCUCCAAGGCUAAAUACUCCUGACUGACCGAUAGUGAACCAGUACCGUGAGGGAAAGGCGAAAAGAACCCCGGCGAGGGGAGUGAAAAAGAACCUGAAACCGUGUACGUACAAGCAGUGGGAGCCUCUUAAUGGGGUGACUGCGUACCUUUUGUAUAAUGGGUCAGCGACUUAUAUUCUGUAGCAAGGUUAACCGAAUAGGGGAGCCGAAGGGAAACCGAGUCUUAACUGGGCGUUAAGUUGCAGGGUAUAGACCCGAAACCCGGUGAUCUAGCCAUGGGCAGGUUGAAGGUUGGGUAACACUAACUGGAGGACCGAACCGACUAAUGUUGAAAAAUUAGCGGAUGACUUGUGGCUGGGGGUGAAAGGCCAAUCAAACCGGGAGAUAGCUGGUUCUCCCCGAAAGCUAUUUAGGUAGCGCCUCGUGAAUUCAUCUCCGGGGGUAGAGCACUGUUUCGGCAAGGGGGUCAUCCCGACUUACCAACCCGAUGCAAACUGCGAAUACCGGAGAAUGUUAUCACGGGAGACACACGGCGGGUGCUAACGUCCGUCGUGAAGAGGGAAACAACCCAGACCGCCAGCUAAGGUCCCAAAGUCAUGGUUAAGUGGGAAACGAUGUGGGAAGGCCCAGACAGCCAGGAUGUUGGCUUAGAAGCAGCCAUCAUUUAAAGAAAGCGUAAUAGCUCACUGGUCGAGUCGGCCUGCGCGGAAGAUGUAACGGGGCUAAACCAUGCACCGAAGCUGCGGCAGCGACGCUUAUGCGUUGUUGGGUAGGGGAGCGUUCUGUAAGCCUGUGAAGGUGUGCUGUGAGGCAUGCUGGAGGUAUCAGAAGUGCGAAUGCUGACAUAAGUAACGAUAAAGCGGGUGAAAAGCCCGCUCGCCGGAAGACCAAGGGUUCCUGUCCAACGUUAAUCGGGGCAGGGUGAGUCGACCCCUAAGGCGAGGCCGAAAGGCGUAGUCGAUGGGAAACAGGUUAAUAUUCCUGUACUUGGUGUUACUGCGAAGGGGGGACGGAGAAGGCUAUGUUGGCCGGGCGACGGUUGUCCCGGUUUAAGCGUGUAGGCUGGUUUUCCAGGCAAAUCCGGAAAACCAAGGCUGAGGCGUGAUGACGAGGCACUACGGUGCUGAAGCGACAAAUGCCCUGCUUCCAGGAAAAGCCUCUAAGCAUCAGGUAACAUCAAAUCGUACCCCAAACCGACACAGGUGGUCAGGUAGAGAAUACCAAGGCGCUUGAGAGAACUCGGGUGAAGGAACUAGGCAAAAUGGUGCCGUAACUUCGGGAGAAGGCACGCUGAUAUGUAGGUGAAGCGACUUGCUCGUGGAGCUGAAAUCAGUCGAAGAUACCAGCUGGCUGCAACUGUUUAUUAAAAACACAGCACUGUGCAAACACGAAAGUGGACGUAUACGGUGUGACGCCUGCCCGGUGCCGGAAGGUUAAUUGAUGGGGUUAGCGGCAACGCGAAGCUCUUGAUCGAAGCCCCGGUAAACGGCGGCCGUAACUAUAACGGUCCUAAGGUAGCGAAAUUCCUUGUCGGGUAAGUUCCGACCUGCACGAAUGGCGUAAUGAUGGCCAGGCUGUCUCCACCCGAGACUCAGUGAAAUUGAACUCGCUGUGAAGAUGCAGUGUACCCGCGGCAAGACGGAAAGACCCCGUGAACCUUUACUAUAGCUUGACACUGAACAUUGAGCCUUGAUGUGUAGGAUAGGUGGGAGGCUUUGAAGUGUGGACGCCAGUCUGCAUGGAGCCGACCUUGAAAUACCACCCUUUAAUGUUUGAUGUUCUAACGUUGGCCCCUAAUCGGGGUUGCGGACAGUGUCUGGUGGGUAGUUUGACUGGGGCGGUCUCCUCCUAAAGAGUAACGGAGGAGCACGAAGGUUGGCUAAUCCUGGUCGGACAUCAGGAGGUUAGUGCAAUGGCAUAAGCCAGCUUGACUGCGAGCGUGACGGCGCGAGCAGGUGCGAAAGCAGGUCAUAGUGAUCCGGUGGUUCUGAAUGGAAGGGCCAUCGCUCAACGGAUAAAAGGUACUCCGGGGAUAACAGGCUGAUACCGCCCAAGAGUUCAUAUCGACGGCGGUGUUUGGCACCUCGAUGUCGGCUCAUCACAUCCUGGGGCUGAAGUAGGUCCCAAGGGUAUGGCUGUUCGCCAUUUAAAGUGGUACGCGAGCUGGGUUUAGAACGUCGUGAGACAGUUCGGUCCCUAUCUGCCGUGGGCGCUGGAGAACUGAGGGGGGCUGCUCCUAGUACGAGAGGACCGGAGUGGACGCAUCACUGGUGUUCGGGUUGUCAUGCCAAUGGCACUGCCCGGUAGCUAAAUGCGGAAGAGAUAAGUGCUG